AGAUUUUAUGACUAGAGUAGAUAUGGUCAUUGAUGAAUUGGGAGGUGAUAUGACAAUCUAAUCGUCUCCAAAUCACACACAGUUACAACAAAGUGGGUUGCUUAAAGGGGAUGAUCACAUGGAUCGCUUUUUCUGAAUCCUCAUGGAAAUUUCUGUAGCAAAUUGUUUGGUCACUGACAUGAUUAAUCCAAGCUCAUUGUCCCUACAAACGCCACAACAAGUCCAGCAUCUCUCAUUUGCUGUUAUUGAUAUGUAUGCAAAGCUUGUGGUUUUAGUUAUUAAGUUUGGGUAUCUAUGAACAGUAUCAGGAGCAAUGGGAUGAUCUGUUGCAACCCCAUGUGUGAGUUCUCUCUUUCCCUGAGGAAAUACCAAGUUCAUCAUUCUUCUCUUCCCUCAAGUGAUCAUAAUAACCAUGCUCUUGUCCUGAGAAUCCUAAACCAUCAUGCCAUUUCGACUCAUGAUAGCUUGCAGGUCUCUCCACUUGAUCCUUGU